GGGGGGGGGGGGGGGGGGGGCGGGGGGAUGCGGGGCGGGGGGGAGCUGCGGGGCUGGGGGCGCACGGGGGCGUAACGCGGGGGAACCUGCCCUGAGGUUCGGAAUAACUCCCCGAAAGGGGUGCUAAUACCGGAUAAUGUCUUCGGACCAAAGAUUUAUCGCCUUUGGAUGGGCCCGCGUUGGAUUAGCUAGUUGGUAGGGUAAAAGCCUACCAAGGCGACGAUCCAUAGCUGGUCUGAGAGGAUGAUCAGCCACACUGGGACUGAGACACGGCCCAGACUCCUACGGGAGGCAGCAGUGGGGAAUAUUGGACAAUGGGCGAAAGCCUGAUCCAGCAAUGCCGCGUGAGUGAUGAAGGCCUUAGGGUUGUAAAGCUCUUUUACCCGGGAUGAUAAUGACAGUACCGGGAGAAUAAGCUCCGGCUAACUCCGUG
rnacentral:rRNA from 1 species